rnacentral:rRNA from 1 species
UACGUAGGCAGCAAGCGUUGUUCGGAAUUACUGGGCGUAAAGGGUGUGUAGGCGGUUCUUUAAGUUUGGUGUGAAAUCUCCCGGCUCAACCGGGAGGGUGCGCCGAAUACUGAGGGACUCGAGUGCGGGAGAGGAAAGUGGAAUUCCUGGUGUAGCGGUGAAAUGCGUAGAUAUCAGGAGGAACACCGGUGGUGUAGACGGCUUUCUGGACCGUAACUGACGCUGAGACACGAAAGCGUGGGUAGCAAACAGG